rnacentral:lncRNA from 1 species
GUUUGACGCUUGACAAGCUAGGUGGAGGCUUGGAAAGGAAGCGGGUCAAACGAAGCAAAUAAGAAGGAAAAGCGUACUUCGGAUGCGAGUUGAAGGACACUCGCAUCUGAAGAUGACGAGAGUUGAAUGAAUUGUGGAUAUGACGGUGGAACGGUCCGAGGUAUGACAAGCUGAGCACACUCAUUGAGGACCUAAAUCGCGU